rnacentral:rRNA from 1 species
UUGAACGCUGGCGGCAGGCCUAACACAUGCAAGUCGAGCGGAUGAAGGGAGCUUGCUCCUGGAUUCAGCGGCGGACGGGUGAGUAAUGCCUAGGAAUCUGCCUGGUAGUGGGGGAUAACGUCCGGAAACGGGCGCUAAUACCGCAUACGUCCUGAGGGAGAAAGUGGGGGAUCUUCGGACCUCACGCUAUCAGAUGAGCCUAGGUCGGAUUAGCUAGUUGGUGGGGUAAAGGCCUACCAAGGCGACGAUCCGUAACUGGUCUGAGAGGAUGAUCAGUCACACUGGAACUGAGACACGGUCCAGACUCCUACGGGAGGCAGCAGUGGGGAAUAUUGGACAAUGGGCGAAAGCCUGAUCCAGCCAUGCCGCGUGUGCGAAGAAGGUCUUCGGAUUGUAAAGCACUUUAAGUUGGGAGGAAGGGCAGUAAGUUAAUACCUUGCUGUUUUGACGUUACCAACAGAAUAAGCACCGGCUAACUUCGUG